AUCUCCAUGGGAGGGUUAAGAAUAUUAGCCUGAUUUUUGCAAAUUUGCAGAGGUUUUGGAGCUUGCUCCACCUCUGCUCUGGGUUUACCCGGCAUUGCAGUGCCGCUGGGAGAGGCCCACGUAAA